GGAAAGCUACUUUAGGCCCAUGGAUC
rnacentral:piRNA from 1 species